UUGCACCCUGAAACCAGAUGUACAUAUUGUAAUUAUAAAAUAUCAGCUCUCUUGGUUCAUUGUGGACGUGGAAACAUAAUGCAGUAGGCCUGGAAAAGAUUCUGAAGUAUCCAUGGUGAUGAUCUACCCACAGAAUAUUGAAAGAGGUCCUUGAACAACAAAACCCUUUUAACUGGCAUCAUCUGCCCAAAAUGUCCCGGAUGGAGCCUGUAUCUGAAGACAGUUCCUGGCUUCCAUUAGGAAUCACAAGAUCUAUUGCAUUUACAAGACUGCCACAACACACAGGAAUAGUCUGUGACUAUUCUUUGAAAGGAAGAGAGCUGAUACCCACCAGUUUUACUGCACCUUGUCAAAGACGUCACCAAUUUAGCAGUGAUCCAUAGCCAAUGCACCGAAGACCUUCAGAAUAACUUCCUCUGCUACAGUCACAUACAUCAGAUUUAAUUUGCAAGUAUCAAGAAAAAUACUGGCUCUACUGGUUGGCCUUUUGGCCAGUGCCCAAGACGGUCUGCAAGCCACCACUUGAACAGAGUUUGGCUCCUGAUAUUUGCUAUAGAAAACAUCAAAAGGUAUAGUAGCAGUUGGGAAAAGCUACAAUUUAGUUUAAAAAGAAAUGAUUGCUUUUGGCAUUUUUAAUUGCUAAUAACCCCACUGGAACACCUUUUUCCCAUUGUCACUCAAAGCGUCGAUUCCAGUAUCAGCACUCACCUUCAGACCACAGCCUUGCUGCAAACAGCAUGCAAGUGUUAACACUGAUGCCUCUCAUUUUGUACAGUAUAUAAUGAGGUGUUGCUAUGAUAGGUGCUGAUAGAGCAGCAUCUUGUACACAACAGCAAAGUUACGGUAUCAGGCUAAGUUAACGCAUUGUUAUGACAGCAACAGAUCAUAAUGGCAACAGAAUAUACCUAUGCCUCCAGGCUCACAUGCCAGAAACAGAAUUAUUUAAUAGACAAAGGUAACCUUGUUUUUGGGCAGACAGUUUUUCCCAACUACACUGCCAUUCUCCCCAUGGAUUUUCUUACUAAUACAGUUGGUUAUGAAGUAAUAGAUUCCCCUCCAGAACCAGGGUAAUGGGGAAAAAAAAAUACCCCCAAACGGGUCAAUAUUGGUCACUGAAGCACUGCAACCAGAAAUAAAACUGGUUUAACCAGCAUAAAUCUCCCCUAUAUAGAGCAAGUGGACACAUACACGUUUAACUGACAAAGACAAGGCCUAACGUAUAAACAUUUUGUUCAAGUGUCUGAAUCCACUGUUUAACAUUAUCCUGCCCACAGUUGUUCAAGCUGUGGAAGAGCUCAUCUUUUACACUGAUCAGCCAAUGGUGAGUGUAGGAUACUGAAUUAGUGGAAUGACUAGAGUUUGCUUUUGCAGAAGAGAACAAUGUAAAAAAUACCUUACGAGUUUGUAAUAGUGGAAAAUUAACAUAUGAAGCAAAUCUUUUUUACUGUACUUUAAAAUUUGGGUUUCAACUUGUUUGAGGAGUAAAAUAGCCUCAGAAGAUCCAAGAGGAUUAAAAUGCGGAGCUGAGCAGUGGACAAUAUUGUUUCAUAGAAACUCUAGAGAUGAUUUAGAGUAUUUUUUCCCC